rnacentral:rRNA from 1 species
UUGACCUCGGAUCAGGUAGGGAUACCCGCUGAACUUAAGCAUAUCAAUAAGCGGAGGAAAAAAAAAC